rnacentral:rRNA from 1 species
AAGAACCAACAGGGAUUGCCCCAGUAACGGCGAGUGAAGCGGCAACAGCUCAAAUUUGAAAUCUGGCCCCUCCGGGUCCGAGUUGUAAUUUGUAGAGGAUGCUUUUGGUGAGGUGCCGCCCGAGUUCCCUGGAACGGGACGCCGCAGAGGGUGAGAGCCCCGUCUGGCUGGCCGCCGAGCCUCUGUAAAGCUCCUUCGACGAGUCGAGUAGUUUGGGAAUGCUGCUCAAAAUGGGAGGUAUAUGUCUUCUAAAGCUAAAUAUUGGCCAGAGACCGAUAGCGCACAAGUAGAGUGAUCGAAAGAUGAAAAGCACCUUGAAAAGAGGGUUAAACAGUACGUGAAAUUGUUGAAAGGGAAGCGCUUGUGACCAGACUUGGGCGCGGCGGAUCAUCCGGGGUUCUCCCCGGUGCACUUCGCCGCGUCCGGGCCAGCAUCAGUUCGUCGCGGGGGAAAAAGGCUUCGGGAACGUGGCUCCCCCGGGAGUGUUAUAGCCCGUUGCACAAUACCCUGCGGUGGACUGAGGACCGCGCAUCUGCAAGGAUGCUGGCGUAAUGGUCACCAGCGACCCGUCUUGAAACACGGACCAAGGAGUCGUCUUCGUAUGCGAGUGUUCGGGUGUCAAACCCCUACGCGUAAUGAAAGUGAACGCAGGUGAGAGCUUCGGCGCAUCAUCGACCGAUCCUGAUGUUCUCGGAUGGAUUUGAGUAAGAGCAUACGGGGCCGGACCCGAAAGAAGGUGAACUAUGCCUGUAUAGGGUGAAGCCAGAGGAAACUCUGGUGGAGGCUCGCAGCGGUUCUGACGUGCAAAUCGAUCGUCAAAUAUGGGCAUGGGGGCGGAGAGACUAAUCGAACCUUUCUAGUAGCUGGUUUCCGCCGAAGUUCACCUUCAG